GACGAACGCUGGCGGCGUGCUUAACACAUGCAAGUCGAACGGAAAGGCCCUGCUUGCAGGGUACUCGAGUGGCGAACGGGUGAGUAACACGUGGGUGAUCUGCCCUGCACUUCGGGAUAAGCCUGGGAAACUGGGUCUAAUACCGGAUAGGAGCCAUUUUUAGUGUGAUGGUUGGAAAGUUUUUUUCGGUGUAGGAUGAGCUCGCGGCCUAUCAGCUUGUUGGUGGGGUAAUGGCCUACCAAGGCGGCGACGGGUAGCCGGCCUGAGAGGGUGGACGGCCACAUUGGGACUGAGAUACGGCCCAGACUCCUACGGGAGGCAGCAGUGGGGAAUAUUGCACAAUGGGCGCAAGCCUGAUGCAGCGACGCCGCGUGGGGGAUGACGGCCUUCGGGUUGUAAACUCCUUUCGCUAGGGACGAAGCUUUUUGUGACGGUACCUAGAUAAGAAGCACCGGCUAACUACGU
rnacentral:rRNA from 1 species